AGAUCACUCACCAAGCGUUGUGAUCGAUUGCGGAAAAAAAACUUCCCUCUGCAGAGCACGCCUCUACAUCGUGUGUGUGUAUCUCCAGUCUAUCCAGAAGGAUGGAUACAGAUCUUAAGUUAUGGGAGACUCGUGCCGUCCUACCCUACUGGAUCAGCAGAUCAAUACAACGUCAUUUGUGUGUACAACUGGGAGUUUGGUUCCUUCAACAAUAUCUAAGGCGCAGAUCUCUGCUGCAACCUAAUAAUACGACAAACACGAACCAGACCAAGCCACGACAGCAGAGAGAGAAAGCAAUGAAAGAAAAGGACGGGGGAGAGAGAUGGAGAGAGGUGUUUGACUGUGAUGACAGUAUCCAUACCUGAGGAGCUACGGAGGCUGGAGGUGACAGACACAGUCUGAAAGAGCCACAUUGUUUGUGUCUGUGCACAGAACAAAGUAAAACUAUGUACGUACUGCACACGUUGAAAUCAUGAAUGAACACAGGGUUACCAGGGCAACAGAUAGCAGACUAAAGACACACACACACACGCACACACACACACCCCAUCUGAAGAUCAGGAUGUGAGUGAUCAUCACAUAUCAAAGCCAGGGAGUUUCCUUUUCUUGCUGUUUCAGCACUUUUUCAUUUCCCAUUCCCAUUUUCUACUGUGUUCUGAAAUUCUUACCCUGUUCUUUGUUAAUUCAAAUGUUCCAGGUGCAGUAAGACUUGACACUAAUAACGCUUUAAAUUUUUUUUUCUUGUACUCAUGUAGAUACAGAGAGGAAACUAGUCCACUGGAGGGGUUAUGUAACAAAAGAGACCAGCACACAUCUGGAUGUCUUUUCAGGGUAGAGUCGCUUUGAAUUGUCCUGUUGCAUCCUGACUGUGGCACCAUCCAACCCGCGGAGACACCUGCACCAGUUUAAUGAAGCAAAUACAGAGAAAAUGUGUUUUGGUAUUGUUUCUAGACAGGAGGAAAAACAGAAGGAGGGAAGACAGAAGGAGGAAAGACAGAAGGAGGAAAGACAGAAGGAAGAAAGACAGAAGAAGGAAAGGUUAGAUUUCUAAACAAAACAAAUCUGUCUUACUGUUCAAACUGCUACUGUGUUUAAAUUAUAUUUUAUGCUCAUUUAGUACCUAAAUAAAUAUUUCAUACUUAUUUUCCAAUAAGGCCCUUAAAGUCUUUGUCCGUCUCUCUUUUUCCCCGUCUCCCCGGUGCAUAUCACAUGUCCGCACUCCACUGAAAAACCUUUAGGAGUGAAAGACACCAGUGUUCUCUCAUUAGGCGCCUCAUUCACUAAAUCCAUCACUUGUCAUGUCAAAAUGCAAAGCUGUAAAAGACACCAAAAUGAUCCAAGCCAACCACAUAACAGAUCUUCAGAGCAAACAUCCUCCGUAGAGCAGAGUAAACCCAAAUAAGCCCUGAGCUAACACUGUCACCCUGCUUGCUGAGACGAAGGCAAGACUCACUGAACUCCUUUUUUUAAAACUCUCUCUAUAUUUACAUAACUUGGUGUGUUUGGGUUCUGUUCAUAAUAAUCACUUUUGUCCAUCAUAACUUCUUCAGCUCAUCUUAGCACAAGAAUCUGACUAAAAAAGUAAUUCUAGCUACAUGUUUAAGGAGAAGUUCAUUGUGGGAGAUAACUUGUUUAUCAGUGCUAGUAAUCUAUAAGUCUGUGAAGAUUCUCAUUCAACCAGGUCAUGUUAUCCAAAGAGUUUCGUUGUAGGCAACUGGACUUCUUCUUGGAGCUUGAGAGACGUUUCGUUCCUCAACUGAGGAACUUCGUCAGUUUCUGGUUGAUGUAAGAGGGGACACUAGUAGUUAUACUUCUCUAGACCACUCCCUUCUCCACUGGACAAGGAGUCACAUGUCAAGGUGUGAAGAGUUGUUAUGGUCAGACCUCCCUAGAGACGGGUGACAGGUGACUGCAUCUGAUGGUGAUGGGCAGUUUGAGGAACCACAGAUCUUUCAGUUGCUUACAACUAAACUCUAUGGAUAUGAAUAAUGAAUUAAUUUGUGAAGAUAGUUAAACUAAUAACACAUUUAAGAUUGCAUUACAUUGUUUAUCCCAUAAUUCCACCUUCCAUAAAGAAUUAUCUAAUUAAACUUAAUUGGUCUGAAAACUAAACUCACCAAUGAGACAAAUGCAAAUGA